UUCUUAUAGAAUUCAUUAUAAGUAAAAUCUGCUCAAUGAAAAUAUAAAUAGCCGCAGAAUUUUUACUGUGCUAAGGUAGCAUAAUCAUUUGCCUUUUAAUUAAAGGCUAGUAUGAAAGAUCUAACAUUUAAAUUUUUCUAUAUAAAUUAAAAUUUUAAUUUAUUUUAAAUGUAAAAAAACAUUUAUACUAAGAAAGACGACAAGACCCUAUCGAACUUUACUUUAGUUAAGCUGGGGCAGCUUAUUAAUUAAAUUCUUAAUAAAAUUUAUUCUAAAACUAGACCCAAUUCAAUUGAUUUAAUGAUCAAGUUACCGUAGGGAUAACAGCGUAAUAAUUAUUUAAAGCUCUUAUUUAAAUAAAAGAUUGCGACCUCGAUGUUGAAUUGAUAUCCCUAUUAAAUGCAUCCAUUUAAAAAGGAGGUCUGUUCGACCUAUAAUUUAUCACA
rnacentral:rRNA from 1 species